rnacentral:rRNA from 1 species
UGGGGAAUAUUGCGCAAUGGGGAGAACCCUGACGCAGCCAUGCCGCGUGAAUGAAGAAGGCCUUCGGGUUGUAAAGUUCUUUCGGUAUUGAGGAAGGUUGAUGUGUUAAUAGCACAUCAAAUUGACGUUAAAUACAGAAGAAGCACCGGCUAACUCCGUGCCAGCAGCCGCGGUAAUACGGAGGGUGCGAGCGUUAAUCGGAAUAACUGGGCGUAAAGGGCACGCAGGCGGUUAUUUAAGUGAGGUGUGAAAGCCCCGGGCUUAACCUGGGAAUUGCAUUUCAGACUGGGUAACUAGAGUACUUUAGGGAGGGGUAGAAUUCCACGUGUAGCGGUGAAAUGCGUAGAGAUGUGGAGGAAUACCGAAGGCGAAGGCAGCCCCUUGGGAAUGUACUGACGCUCAUGUGCGAAAGCGUGGGGAGCAAACAGGAUUAGAUACCCUGGUAGUCCACGCUGUAAACGCUGUCGAUUUGGGGGUUGGGGUUUAACUCUGGCGCCCGUAGCUAACGUGAUAAAUCGACCGCCUGGGGAGUACGGCCGCAAGGUUA